GCUUACGGCCACACAGCCUGGUUCCACUGAUCUCGUUUGAUCUCGGAAGCUAAGAUAGGUUGGGCCUGGUUAGUACUUGGAUGGGAGACCGCCUGGGAUACCAGGUGCUGUAAGCU
rnacentral:rRNA from 1 species